rnacentral:rRNA from 1 species
UACGGGGGGAGCAAGCGUUGUUCGGAUUUACUGGGCGUAAAGGGCGCGUAGGCGGCCAGUGCAAGUCAGUUGUGAAAUCUCCGAGCUUAACUCGGAAAGGUCAACUGAUACUGCUCGGCUAGAGUGCGGAAGGGGCAACUGGAAUUCUUGGUGUAGCGGUGAAAUGCGUAGAUAUCAAGAGGAACACCUGCGGCGAAGGCGGGUUGCUGGCCGACACUGACGCUGAAGUGCGAAAGCUAGGGGAGCGAACGGG